AAAACUCCAUCUCAAAACAAUAAAUAAACAAACAAACAAAUAAAUAAAAAAAAAUAAACAGCAGGUCCUAAUAAUGCACACUCACUGUCCACCAGGCACUGUGCUAAGCAUUUCACAUGCAUUUUCUCACCGGAUUCUACUACAAUUAUUAUUAUCCUCAUUUUACAGAUGAGGCAACUGAGGCUCAGGGACAUAAAGCCACCUGCCUAAGGUCACAAGGUCAGUAAGUGGCAGAGCCAGGAUUUAAACCCAGGUCUGUGUGACUCCAGGGCCUGGUGCUCCAACCCUGGCUGAGGGUUCCACAGCACAUGGAGGGAAGGAAGACUUCAGCUAAAGGGUGAGGUCCAGUUCAGCUCUCGGCUUGGGGAAAUCCCCUAGGUUUCCCUUGGGUCCUGGAGGGUGGCUCUCAGGGCCCUGUUGCAGAGAAGUCUGCAGCUGUACCCCAAGGCCCUGGAAAAGAUGGGGAAGGGGCUGCGGGUGGGCCAGACGGGGCAGGCUGGGCCAGAGCUCCGGGCAUUCCGCAGCCUCCGCAGGAAGCAGAACGGGACGGAAACCGGCUCCGGCCUCCUCCCCCAGAAUCCUGUGGGCAGCCCAGCCGGCCGCACAGAGGCCCUCUUUGUGCCUGCCCCAACCCGCCACCCGCGGCUGGCCCAGGGUUUUGAGUUUCCUGGGGGGUGGGGGCCCAGCCACUGCUAAGCCUCCAUCUAGCUCCUCUCCCGGGGGCAGUCACAGCAGUCCACAGCUGGAGGAGGAAGAGAGGGGAUGGCCAGGGCCACUCUAGAGACCCUGGGGGCCUGGAGUCUGCCCACACCCCAUUCCUCCAACAUUUACACACCCAAAUCAGGGGCUGGAGGUGGGAGGAGGGACCCAGAGACAGAGCUGAGGUCACCCCCCAGAGUCUGCCUCUGCCAGCAGCCACCAAGCCCAUCAUGACACACCUGGAACCCCCCGCCCCAUCCCACGCCAUCCUGGCGCUCUUGGGCCUAAAGUGGUGUACACAGUGAGGUUGGGCAGGGGCCGGGCAGUCCUUGUCAAACCAUUUCCCACUCUCCGAGGCUCCCUGGACACAGGGCUCAGCAAGCUGAGGCCUCAAGCUCACUUCCCAGUAUUUCGGGGGACAAAAGCCCCUCGGGUGGCAUAACUACCCAAGGAUGCUGGGCACCUGGGAGCGGGCUCAGGGGGCUGGAGUGUGUAUGGUGACGAGAGCAAUGCAUACAGUGUGUUUUCGCGUGUCUACCUGGGAGGUGUGCUGCACAACUGUGUGUGUGUCCAGUGGACUGUGAAUGUGCCCGGUUGAGUGUGUAGUCUCAAGAUGUCGCCCUCUACAGACCACAGCAUUAAAGCAUAUAUGGGGAUCAUGUAGCAGUGCUGGGGGAGAUCUUUGACUCUGUGACCUCCCUGAGGGUAAAGUGGAGGCAUGUGUGUGCGACCCAAGUCUGUGAAUGUACAUGGAUGUCCAAGUGCACGUGUGUGCGAAUAGGGUGGUUUACGUGGUGAGAGGAUGUUUGUGGAGUCUUCUGGUCUGUACGUGUCAACACAUCUUUGCCGCAUGAAUGCCAGUGUGUGUAUGUCCGCAUGCACUGUGAGUUGUGUCAGGAGCUCUGGGCUGUAUGAGUCUGGGGCCCUACUGGGACGGGGAUGGUGUAGACAGGAACUGGUGCCAGCUGCUAGGGCCCCUAUGGAAACAGGAAGCUGCCCACAGGUGCACCUGGGCUGUGGUGGGGGCUGGUUCCAUCCAGGUUCAGUUUGUGCCUCUGAGAAACCAACCCAGGGUUCCACUAGCUGAGAAUCUGUCCCAGCUCUAAGGGGGACACCUGUCUUGUCUGCUGUUCAAGGUCCAACAGCUCUGGCCAGUGUCUACCCGCCUGCCUGGCCUGAGCGUGGAAAAAACUGGAAAACAAAAGCCCCCAGACCGCAGGCCCUCCCUGCAGAGGCGUGGGGGAGGCAGGCGAGAGGCGGGAGGCUGAGGAGGAGGGAGGGAGGUGUCGCCGCAGCCCCGGAACACAAAAAUAAUGAGGCGAGAGGGGCCAUGGGGCCGAGCCGGCUGGUUCCGGAGUCGCUAUCUGACCUUGACAGAUGCCACAGCUGGGCGCCUGGAGAGGAGCCGCCGCCACAGUGCUGCAGAACCCCCCCAGCACCUCCCCCAGGCCAGGGUCGAUGGAGGCUCAGGCUGGCCCCAGCCACAGGCAGCCACCCCAUGAGGCGGGAGCCAGAAGACCUCGGAGCACCUCCCAGUAGGGUGGAUGGGGAUGGGGUUGGGGGGUCUGGAGGCAAGGGAGUGGGAGCAGGGCCACUGCAGGGCACAGGAGGCAGCAGUGGGGUCUCCUGAGGGUGCCCCCGCCCUCAGGUAAGGCUACAUGUGUGAGAAGCACGCAGAGCCUGCCAUUGUGUGUGUGUGUGUAGCUUGGCUGUGGGGCUGAGUGUGUGUGUAGAAGGGAAGUAAAGCGUGAGUAUGGGUGUGACAAAAAUUGUACUUGUGUGCCUGUGUCCUUGGGGUCACACAAGGCUGGGAAGACAGGCUAAUGUCCAUGAAAUGAGUGUGGCCACAUCACUUGGUGUGGGCACCGAUCACUCCCCAAACUCAUUUAAAGCCAUAGCUGUCCUGGCAGGUGUGAGCCAUGCUGGGUCUAGGGGUAGGGUGGGAGACAAAGAGAGCCACAAGUCUUGUCACUUGCAGAUGGCGGAGGGGCGCCCCUCCGGCCCUUCCUGACCUACCCUCUCUCCCGCUAUGGCGGUUGUCCCAAGCACUCAGUGAUGGGCACGGGGCUGGGCACCGCCACUCUAGGGACAUCAGCCAGGGGCUGGGGUGUGAGUUGCAGGAGGGGAUGCAGGGCUGGAGGGGGAUUAGCAAUUCCGAGCACUGGCUGCAUAAUUAAAAAAUCAUUACGGCAGGCGGGCAGAGCUGAGUGUGAGCUCACGCUUAGAGCGGGCGGGGACACUGCCAUGGCGCUCCCCCUCCCACUGCUUCCCCGAGGAAAAAUCCCACCUGCUAAUAUAAUUAUGGAAAAACACAAGCACAGAAAUUUGGUUUCAGCAAACAACGUGCCUCAGUGCCCAGGGCCUGCCUGGCCCUCAGCACAGCGAGCAGGCUGGCCACUGGCAUCCAGGGCUCAUGGCAGUAAGGCAGGCCCUGCUAGGUCCAGACAUUACCUCCACCCCCUCAGCAACCCCCCAAGAGAGGAGACUGGGAGGGGUAUACAAAGCCCAGCUCCCUAAAUCCCAAAUUCAGGAGAAAAUGGGCUGGUGCUGAUGGUUUACAAACGGGGAAACCGAGGCUAAGGACUCUACAUAAGGUCACUGUGUUUGUGGCAAAGCCAAGAGGAACUGGAUCCGUGCUCAGUGCAACACCUCAGGGCUCAACAUCCCCUCCCGACUCCCCCUAUCAGUCAUCCCCCAGCCUUCUCCGCUCCGCCUGGGAUAAGCAUAUCUCUCCCGAGACUGAAGAGAGCCUCCAAGCCAGCACACCAGAGCUCUGCAUCCAGGCCUGGAGCCACCGCAGCUGCUGGGGCCCUGGGAGCAUGAAUAAUAAUGUAAUGAUAACAAAAUAACAGUGUCAGUAGUAAUAAUAAGGAUGGCGAGAACAACA
rnacentral:lncRNA from 1 species